GAAUCAACGCUGGCGGCGUGCCUAACACAUGCAAGUCGAACGCGACAGGGACUUCGGUCCUGAGUAGAGUGGCGAACGGGUGAGUAACGCGUGGGUGACCUACCCUCGAGUGGGGGAUAACGUUCCGAAAGGGACGCUAAUACCGCAUGACAUUCCGGGUUCGAAGACCUGGAAAUCAAAGCCGGGGACCGCAAGGCCUGGCGCUCGAGGAGGGGCCCGCGUCUGAUUAGCUAGUUGGCGGGGUAAUGGCCCACCAAGGCGACGAUCAGUAGCCGGCCUGAGAGGGCGGACGGCCACACUGGGACUGAGACACGGCCCAGACUCCUACGGGAGGCAGCAGUGGGGAAUUGUUCGCAAUGGGCGCAAGCCUGACGACGCAACGCCGCGUGGAGGAUGAAGGUCUUCGGAUUGUAAACUCCUGUUGAUCGGGACGAAAAGCUUCGACCUAACACGUCGGAGACUGACGGUACCGGUUGAGGAAGCCACGGCUAACUCUGUGCCAGCAGCCGCGGUAAUACAGAGGUGGCAAGCGUUGUUCGGAAUUACUGGGCGUAAAGGGCGCGUAGGCGGCCUUCUAAGUCGGACGUGAAAGCCCCAGGCUUAACCUGGGAACUGCGUCCGAUACUGGGAGGCUUGGAUUCGGGAGAGGGAUGUGGAAUUCCAGGUGUAGCGGUGAAAUGCGUAGAUAUCUGGAGGAACACCGGUGGCGAAGGCGGCAUCCUGGACCGAGAUCGACGCUGAGGCGCGAAAGCUAGGGGAGCAAACGGGAUUAGAUACCCCGGUAGUCCUAGCCCUAAACGAUGAGUGCUUGGUGUGGCGGGUAUCGAUCCCUGCCGUGCCGAAGCUAACG
rnacentral:rRNA from 1 species